AUAUUAUUGUUCUGUCGAUAAAAAAAUAUUUAGAUAUGUAUUAUUUCUUGAUGUGUUUAAAACAAUUAUGUACCUUGGAAAAGUUUAGGAAUUAUGCUUGUGAUGAUGACAACUUUAAAUUUCCUAUUCUUCUUGCUUUGUAGGAUGCUAAAAUCUGCUGCUUACUUGUCGCACAGUAGUAUGAGUUUAACCAUUGUCGACCUGCGAUUGAAGUUUAUGUAUGAAGAGAAUUAUGAUUUCAUUUUUAGCUAUUGUGUUAGACUUACCUGUUCAGCCGUAGACCAAUCGUGG
rnacentral:lncRNA from 1 species